ensembl:lncRNA
AUUAAACCCGCGGUGAUACCUUGAUGGCUGCAUUUUUUUAUGGAUCCUGCCCAAAUGCCCAUGAUGGCAAACCUUUACCUCUGAACCUCCUGGUAUGAUACUGGUAUUAGUUCUUUUGUCAUGCUGGAAAAAUCUUCCUUCUACUUUUCUAGUUUUUCCAGGAAAAACAGACAGACAUGGAUGGAGUCAGAAUCUGUCCUGUGGCGUCGGAAAUUGUGUUAAGUAUUUUCCUGGCUUCACUGUAUCACACUGAAACAUGGUCACAAAACUCUUGGAGCUCAGCAGGAUGGAUGGACUCUCAAGCACUCAGAGCAAAGGCAUACAACAGUACCACGAGAUGUCAAACUGGGAUCUCAG